GAAGAGCUGCUUGAGCGAGAAGAGCGAGCGCCGCAGCUCCGGACCGUGACUGUUGUACAAUUUCUCUGCAAGACAAUGGCGGGAAACAGGAAGUGAAGUCACCGCCGUUUGUGCUGCAGGAUUCGGUUUUUGCGACUCUUUCUGUGAGCAACUUGGGGACCGGGUCAACAAAGUUGACGGGUGGAUUUGAAAGUGGAGCGGAAUUGGUCGCGCUAACCGACGUCAUCGGUCAACGGACUUUGCUUGAACGGCUGACGUCGUCACCUGCUUCGCUCACCUUGAGGGGCGCGUCCAGCAGCUUGUGCACGACCGGAAGCAGUUGACCGAGCGGCGCGUUCUGGUCCACGUCGAGGGAGGGAGGCCGCCGAGGUUCCGGAAAGUUGGUACAGAUGAAAGGAUCCUGGUCCAGCAGGAACUGGACGCGGCAGGUGACCGCAGACAUGCCGACGACGUCUGCCGCGGGUGCGUCAACGUGCGAAAAUGAGGCCGCGCCAGCCGACGCGAGUGGCCUUUAAAUCAAUACGACACAAGCGCGCCGCUCUAAGGGAGACGACUUCCGCUCGCGCCCUUCAAAACAAGAAAAACAAAAGCAGCGUCAACUCGCCCAACCGGAAACCAAACCUACCUGUUGAGCUCAAGUGCUCCCAAAAAAAUCGAAAUGAUAGUUUUUGCAUUGUUUCAUACAAAGGUUCCAACGUGUCACUUCCUGUCACGCGGAAGUGGCAGUGGAGCUUUCCAGCUGGGCUCCUGUUGGCUCACAACUUUUAUUCUGAAGGCAAAGAGGCUCAACGACCACCGGAUGUCGCUCCUCGAUCCCACACGCUCAGGUGAGACGCCCUCAGAGGCGCUUGAAAAUGACGUCAUCAAGGUGAUGCAACACAGACCUUGGGUUAUACGAGACCGCGACCUCGCUCUCGUGGCUCGGGUAAGGGUGAGGGCACCGGUGCCCAGACGAAUACGUAUGGGCACCGGCCGUCUUUUCAAUUCGCAGGCGCAUAUUGAGCUGAACGCCGAAUCUAACAUCUGAUUGGUUACACCAUUUCAAGGGUGUUCGACUUGGUUGACACAAGCAAUUGGGAUUCUGAAGGCCUUGGGCAGAUUACAUUUACAUGGCAACAGAUAGGACCUGAAAAUCUGAUUGGACAAAAAAAGCAAAUCGCCACAUAUGACGCUGAACGCGACUGGAAGCUGAGCGAAGCGCGUGCGCACAUGCUAUAAAUCCAUAUAGACUAUUGUGCGUAGCUAUAUUAUUAGAAUGAAUAAUCGAAAAAAUGAAAUCAUUGAAUGAAGGUCAGUGCUUUUCAGAGGAUGUUGUUGAAAAAGGGGAAAAGGGGGCGGGGCAGCAUGCAAAGUGGGGGUGUCGCAACACCCCUAAGAACUUCUAAUACCUUGCUUCUGUUAGGGCGAUUAAAUGUGUAAUGUCUUAAAUGUCUCAGUCAAGACUGGAAACUGUUUGGGAAAUAAGGUCGAAGUCUUAAUUGCUUAAUCGUGGUGUGAUUUUCCUAUCCAAGUUUGCGAACGUGACGCUCGUGUCUGGAAAUGUUUGCGCGUGCGGCCCCGGCAGACCUAAAAAGUUCGAGCGCCCUUGAACGCUCCGUGGGAUUCAGAAUAACGCGGUGGCGACAUCUCGCGUGCAAAUGGAUCCCUUGCGUCGGCUCAAAAAAGAGACUCGCUUAGUCGCCACGAGAGGGCGCUGUCCGCUCACUCUUCCAACGUCACGGCGUCAAGUUUUCCAAGUACGGCAACACUACUACCUCAGGACUUGCUCUGAUUUGGAUUCUCCAUCAAAUAUUUGUGCAUUUAAAAAAUAUAUAAUUGUAGCACUUUUAAAAAAAAAAAAAAAACUUACUCUCUUACUU